GUGAAAGGUUGCAUAGGACAGGAGAGUCAGACCACGUGGUGUUGGAGUCUGCAACGGGGAGGCUGUGGGCCCGUUGCUGAGCCAGAAAUACUAGAUCCUCCCCCUUGUUGC